rnacentral:ncRNA from 2 species
CUAUUCUUUCGGGGUUUAGUGUGUAAAUCACAAUCGGAAGUAAAAUCAGGUACCAUCUGGUACCUGAUGAACUCUUCGAGCUCGGUGAAAACUGGGCACGAGUAGGUGCAACUCCUACAGCGACCGUAAAGUCGGGAUAAAAGAAAGAAUGU